rnacentral:rRNA from 1 species
GGGUUGUGAGGUUAAGCGACUAAGCGUACACGGUGGAUGCCCUGGCAGUCAGAGGCGAUGAAGGACGUGCUAAUCUGCGAAAGCGUCGGUAAGGUGAUAUGAACCGUUA